UACGGAGGGUGCGAGCGUUAUCCGGAAUUACUGGGUUUAAAGGGUGCGUAGGCGGUGAUAUAAGUCAGUGGUGAAAGGCCGUAGCUUAACUAUGGGAUUGCCAUUGAUACUGUAUGACUUGAAUCAGGAUGAGGUUGGCGGAAUGUGGCAUGUAGCGGUGAAAUGCAUAGAUAUGCCAUAGAACACCGAUUGCGAAGGCAGCUGACUGGACCUUGAUUGACGCUGAGGCACGAAAGCGUGGGGAGCGAACAGG
rnacentral:rRNA from 1 species